UGCAACGUCUGAGUCGGGGGUUUGUUUCGAGCACUCGACUGUACUUUUUUGGAUCUCAUCCGUAGACUGUUUCACAUGAUUAUUGCGUACGUGGUAAAAUAGAUUAGUGGUGUUUGAGCAUGUUGUCGGGAACGGCCUGCGGCUUAUUUUGCGGAGGACGGUUUUCUUUUCGUUUCAGACUUGUCAUAUCCAAACCACGUCCAUGCCACCGACGUAGUUCCUCUUUUAGUAGUUCUUUUUUUUACGAGCCGUGUCGUCCUCCGUGUCACAUUCACUCUCCUCCAUGUUUGCUUGUGUUGCAAAGCGUCGUCCAAUUGACAAAAAAUAUUGGCGUGAUUUGUGACACAACGAAAUAAACGAUAGAGCAUAAUAUGAAACGUUAGACAUUUUUCUAUCGUCACGCGAUGUAUAUCGUCAUAUCGCCCAGGCCUAAAACCAAUCAAGUUGAAUAAGCGUCUCAAGGAUGAUAAAUGGAAACAGGAUGCACCUGAGCUCAAUUUCAGUCUUAUAGCAAAGGGUCUGAAUACUUAUGUAAAUAAGGUAUUUCUGUUUGACAUUUUUCAUAAAUUAGCAAACAUUUAAAACAUUUUUUUUCGCUUUGUCAUUAUGGGUUAUUGUGUGUAGAUUUGAGGGAUUAUUUUUCAAGUGGAAAAAGGAAAGGGGUCUGAAUACUUUUCAAACGCAUUGUACAUAUGAAUUGGAUAAAGCAGUCUGUUAACAUUAUUAAAGUGACUAGUGAUUUCAUGUCUAUGUUCAGCACCAGUCAAAGGUUUGGACACCUACUCAUUCAAGGGUUUUUCUAUUUUUGUACUCUUCUCUACAUUGUAGAAUAAUAGUGAAGACAUCAACACUAUGAAAUAACACAUAUGGAAUCAUGUAGUAACCAAAAAACUGUUAAACAAAUCGAGAUAUAUUUUAUAUUUGAGAUUCUUCAAAGUAGCCACCCUUUGCCUUGAUGACAGCUUUGCACACUCUUGGCAUGUUUGCUUAUGGCCUUAUACAGCUGGUUGAAUGCUGUCUUAGUACCAGCAUCGGUUUGUGGUGGUAAAUAGAGGGCUACGAAUAAUAUAGAUGAGAACUCUCUUGGUAGAUAUUCUGGUCUACAACUUAUCAUAAGGUACUACCUCAGGCGAGUAAUACCUCGAGACUUCUUUAAUAUCAGACAUCGUGCGCCAGCUGUUGUUGUAACGGUUUUCCUCCUCUUCUGAGGAGGAGUAGCAAGGAUCGGACCAAUAUGCAGCGUGGUAAGUGUUCGUCAUUUUAUUAAACUGAACACUACAAUACAAAAUAAACAAAAAGAACAACCGAAACAGUUCCGUCUGGUAACUAAUACAAAGACAGAAAACAACUUCCCACAAAUCAUAGUGGGAAAACAGGCUGCCUAAAUAUGGUUCUCAAUCAGAGACAACGAUAAGCAGCUGCCUCUGAUUGGGAACCAUACCAGGCCAAACACAGAAAUACAAAAACAUAGAACAACAACAUAGAAUGCCCACCCCAACUCACGCGCUGACCAAACUAAAAUAGAGACAUUCAAAAGGAACUAAGGUCAGGACGUGACAGUACCCCCCCCCAAAAGUCCGGACUCCGGGCGCAAAACCUAAAUCCAUAGGGGAGGGUCUGGGUGGGCAUCUGUCCGCGGUGGCGGCUCUGGUGCGGGACGUGGACCCCACGUGGUCUGGCAGCGCCUGACAGGCGGGGGACUCUGGCAGCGCCUGACAGGCGGGGGACUCUGGCAGCGCCUGACAGGCGGGGGACUCUGGCAGCGCCUGACAGGCGGCAGCUCCUGAUUGACGGGCGGCUCUGGCAGCUCCUGACUGACGGGAGAACCUGGAGGGAGGAGACGGAGAGACAGCCUGGUGCGUGGGGCUUCCACAGGUCCCACCAUUCUGGGGAGGAGGCACCGGAUGGACCGGGCUGUGGGUGAGCACUGGAGCUCUGGUGCGCAGCCUUGGCACCACUCCUCCAGGCUGGAUGACCACUUUAGCCCGGACCCUCCAGAGUGCAGGCACAGGUUGAACCGGGCUGUGGGGAUGCACUGGAGAUCUGGUGCAUACCACUCUCACCUCUCCCUUAGGCUCAAUCCCACAUUCGCCCUGCACAGGCGGAGCGCAGGCAUAGGGCGCACUGCACCCUCCCAGCGCCCCGGAGACACAGCACGCAGAGCCCGGCGCAGGAUACCCUGGGCCGAAAUGGCGUACCGGAGACCAAACACGCUGAGCCGGCACAAUACGCCAAUUUUUGGGGGGGCUGCCUCUCGUGCCUGUUGCGCUGCCUUACCUCAUAUCGCCGCCGCUCAGCUUUCGCUGCCUACAGUUCUUCCUUGGGGCGGCGAUAUUCCCCAGUCUGUGCCCAGGGUCCCUUGCCAUCCAAUAUGUCCUCCCAUGUCCAUUUCUCCAGAUAUCACUGCCUCUCGUUACCACGCUGCUUGGUCAUUUCUUGGUGGGUAGUUCUGUAACGGCUUUCCUCCUCUUCUGAGGAGGAGUAGGAAGGACAGUUGUUGACAAAUAGACACACACUACCGCCCCUUGUCUUACCAGACGUAGCUUCUCUGUCUGCCGAUGUAUGGAAAAUCCCGCCUAUCCCGUCUAUAUUUUCUGUGUCGUCGUUCAGCAUAAGAUAUUACAUGUCCCGUUGGUAGGAUAAUCUUGAUCGUAGAUCAUCCAUUUUAUUUUCCAAUGAUUGCACUUUGGCCAACAGAACAGAUGGCAGUGGGGGUUUACUCACUCACCUAUGAAUUCUCAGAAGGUAGCCCAAACUCCGCCUCUUUUUUCUCUGUAUUUUCUUCAUGCAAAUGACCGGGAUGUGGGCCCGUUCCCGAGAAAGCAGUAUAUCCUUCAUGUCGGACUCGUUAAAGAAAAAAAUCUUCAUCCAGUUUGAGAUAAGAUCAAACCAGGCUACAACUUAUCCGUGUAAUCUCACCAAAAGAAUGUGGUGAUCGAUGGUGUCAGAAGCAGCACUAAGGUCUAGGAGCACGAGGACAGAUGCAGAGCCUUGGUCUGACGCCAUUAAAAGACGAAAUGGCAGAGUCCAGUGUUCAUAGUAAUCCAAGGAUGAGAAAAUUCUUCAUUGUUGUCAGUGGCAAUACCUUGGAAUCUCAUAAGGACUUUUUGAAACAACUCACCAUGCAACGAGACUUUACUGAAGUGAGGACCCCGGAGAAGAGUGAUGUCAUCAUAACUUUCUGUCAGUCGUGCUGGGACUGAUAUUGAAGCAGCACUGCAGGAGACCAAGUAACGAAGCAAAGUUGACAUAUACUGUAUAUCUGAAAUGUUUUAUAUGAAAUCCAUGUCCGUGUUGACCUAUGUAUCUAGCAAGAUGCUAAUUAUCUGAGUGUUUUAUUUGUUAGCUGUUUGUUAUGCUAAACAUUUUUUUGUCACUCUCUAUACAGCUGGUAAAUGUGUUGUUUUGGUGGCGCUGCAUCAUUCCUUCAACCCAGACUGCACAGUACCUGACAGUAGCAGACUGGUGACCAGAGGUGAUAUGCUAACAGUGGACUGUCUGUUCCAUGAGAACCAGGGACUACUGGACUGUCCUCGCAAUACAGAAGCAGUCCGUACGAUUUGGAGCCAUCUGAACAUACAGCCAAUGAACGCCAGAAAAGGUUUGUUCAAAGACAAAAAGCCGAGUGAGCAGAAGAAGAGUAAGAAGCAAGUGGAUGCACCGAAAAAAUAACUAUGGGAAGAAAAAUGUCAGCAAUGUGUACACAAGGACAAACUACUAAAGCAAAUAAAUGAACUAAACAAAAUACUUGAUCAACAGGUACAUCAUCUGAAGAGCGAGGUAGAGAGACUGAGAAGCCAGGUCUCAGCCCAGAUGACUGAUGUUUUGAGUGACCAGUGCAAUUUCUCACAAAAGGAUGGACAUGCCAUUGGUAGACAUUCCAGCAGUACCUGCGAUCGAAAUAGCCUAGAACAGUUUUUUUUAAAACUGCCGCAAGGACUUGACGAAGAGUUGUAAAAGUGAAUGUUUUACUGAUGUUUGUCAAGCUCGCGAAUGCAAACUAAUCAUAAACAGAUGUAGCCUACACACAACAGCUAGCCGGACCUCCCAGUUUCCCCUCUGGUAGAUUUGUAUUCCUUCAUUACUACUGAUAUGUAAUUGAUGUAGAAAUAUUACAUGUCUGAUGUGGUGCAUGUUUGUCUCUUAAGUAUGAAAAAUUCAAUUGCACUGAUAUACAAUAUCAAAUCAAACUUGAUUUGUCACGUGCCGAAUACAAGUGUAGACCUUACUGUGAAAUCCUUACUUACAAGCCUUUAACCAACAGCGCAGUUCAAGAAGUGUUAAGAAAAUAUUUACCAAAUAAACUAAAGUAAAAAGUAACACAAUAAAAUAACAAUAACGAGGCAUGGACUCACAAGUUGUCGAAAGCGGUCUACAGGGAUGCUGGCCCAUGUUGACUCCAAUGCUUCCCACGGUUGUGUCAAGUUGGCUGGAUGUCCUUUGGGUGGUGGACCAUUCUUGAUACUAACACGGGAAACUGUUGAGUAUGAAAAACCCAGCAGCAUAGCAGUUCUUGACACACUCAAACCGGUGCGCCUGACACCUAAUACCAUACCCCGUUCAAAGGCACUUCAAUCUUUUGUCUUGCCCAUUCACCCUCUGAAUGGCACACAUACACAAUACAGGUCUCAAUAUUGUCUCAAGGCUUAAAAAUCCUUCUUUAACCUGUCUCCUCCCCUUCAUCAACACUGAUUGAAGUGGAUUUAUCAAGUGACAUCAAUAAGGGAUCAUAGCUUUCACCUGGUCAGUCUAUGUCAUGGAAAGAGCAGGUGUUCCUAAUGUUUUGUACACUCAGUGUAUAUCAAACAGUAUUUUGGUGAAUGGUCUGUAUAGUCAUCGUUUCUUUAUAACUUUUCUUGAUGUCUAUGAGGAACGAACUUAAAUCUCAAAAAGGAUGUUAUCACGUGAGCCUGCUCAGCCUUGUCUUUGGAUAAUAAAAUGUAUUAUGAAAUUAAA